AAGUCGUAACAAGGUUUCCGUAGGUGAACCUGCGGAAGGAUCAUUACCAAAUCCAAAAUACCCAAACCCCAUGUGAACUAUUGUAUAGUCUGUCUUUGGGAGAAAGUUUGUUUUUGUUUUUUUUUUUAUUCAAAAAAAAAGGAAGAGUCAAUUCUUUCUCCCAAAAGAGUCCGGCAUAUCUGUAAAGAUGUGUCCAGAUUCUGAAAACCCUCUAUUUUAAACCACUUGAUUUUUUUUGUUGGAAUUUUUCUUUUAUUAAUUUAAAAAUAAAAGACAACUUUUAACGGCGGAUCUCUUGGCUCGUG
rnacentral:misc_RNA from 1 species